CCUACGGGAGGCAGCAGUGGGGAAUAUUGCACAAUGGGGGAAACCCUGAUGCAGCGACGCCGCGUGAGUGAAGAAGUAAUUCGUUAUGUAAAGCUCUAUCAGCAGGGAAGAAAAUGACGGUACCUGAGUAAGAAGCCCCGGCUAACUACGUGCCAGCAGCCGCGGUCAUACGUAGGGGGCAAGCGUUAUCCGGAUUUACUGGGUGUAAAGGGAGCGUAGACGGGAGUGCAAGUCUGGAGUGAAAGGCGGGGGCUCAACCCCCGGACUGCUCUGGAAACUGUACGGCUGGAGUGCAGGAGAGGUAAGUGGAAUUCCUAGUGUAGCGGUGAAAUGCGUAGAUAUUAGGAGGAACACCAGUGGCGAAGGCGGCUUACUGGACUGUAACUGACGUUGAGGCUCGAAAGCGUGGGGAGCAAACAGGAUUAGAUACCCGGGUAAUC
rnacentral:rRNA from 1 species